GAUGAACGCUGGCGGCGUGCCUAAUACAUGCAAGUCGAGCGAACAGAUGAGGAGCUUGCUCCUCUGACGUUAGCGGCGGACGGGUGAGUAACACGUGGAUAACCUACCUAUCAGACUGGGAUAACUUCGGGAAACCGGAGCUAAUACCGGAUAAUAUAUUGAACCGCAUGGUUCAAUAGUGAAAGACGGUUUUGCUGUCACUUAUAGAUGGAUCCGCGCCGCAUUAGCUAGUUGGUAAGGUAACGGCUUACCAAGGCAACGAUGCGUAGCCGACCUGAGAGGGUGAUCGGCCGCACUGGAACGGGGACACGGUCCAGACGACUACGGGAGGCAGCAGUAGGGAAUCUUCCGCAAUGGGCGAAAGCCUGACGGAGCAACGCCGCGUGAGUGAUGAAGGUCUUCGGAUCGUAAAACUCUGUUAUUAGGGAAGAACAAAUGUGUAAGUAACUAUGCACGUCUUGACGGUACCUAAUCAGAAAGCCACGGCUAACUACGUG
rnacentral:rRNA from 1 species